rnacentral:rRNA from 1 species
UACGUAGGUUGCAAGCGUUGUCCGGAUUUACUGGGCGUAAAGAGCGCGCAGGCGGUCGUUCAAGUCGCGUGUGAAAGCCCCCGGCUCAACUGGGGAGGGUCACGCGAUACUGAUCGACUCGAAGGCAGGAGAGGGAAGUGGAAUUCCCGGUGUAGUGGUGAAAUGCGUAGAUAUCGGGAGGAACACCAGUGGCGAAGGCGACUUCCUGGCCUGUUCUUGACGCUGAGGCGCGAAAGCGUGGGGAGCGAACAGG